CGGAGAGGGCGCAUGAGACAAGGAUCCAGGUCUUACGGGGCGCAGCAGGCGCGGAAACUCCGCAAUGCGCGAAAGCGUGACGGGGUCACCCCGAGUGUAACCUGCUGAAGGUAACUUUUCCUCAGUCUAACCAGCUGAGGGUAAUAAGGGGAGGGCAAGUCUGGUGUCAGCCGCCGCGGUAAUACCAGCUCCCCGAGUGGUAAGGACGAUUAUUGGGCCUAAAGCGUCCGUAGCUGGCUUGAUAAGUUUCCCGUUAAAUCCGGCGAUCCAAUCGUCGGGCUGCGGGAAAUACUGUUAAGCUAGGAGGCGGGAGAGGCCGGCGGUACUUUUGGGGUAGGGGUGAAAUCCUAUAAUCCCAAGAGGACCACCAGUGGCGAAGGCGACCGGCCAGAACGCACUCGACGGUGAGGGACGAAAGCUGGGGGAGCAAACCGGAUUAGAUACCCGGGUAGUCCCAGCUGUAAACGAUGCGGGCUAAGUGUCGGGAUGGCCAUAGAGCCAUCUCGGUGCUGCAGGGAAGCCGUUAAGCCCGCCGCCUGGGGAGUACGGCCGCAAGGUUGAAACUUAAAGGAAUUGGCGGGGGAGCACCACAAGGGGUGAAGCUUGCGGUUCAAUUGGAGUCAACGCCGGGAACCUCACCGGGGAAGACAGCUGGAUGAAUGCCAGAUUGAAGGUCUUGCAGGACUAGCUGAGAGGAGGUGCAUGGCCGUCGCCAGUUCGUGCC
rnacentral:rRNA from 1 species